AACCUAGCACACCUGCGGUGUGUACCUGCGGAGGGAUCAUUAAUGAAUAAACUUGGUCGAGCUGUUGCUGAUCCCUCGGGAUAUGUGCACGCUUGCCACCAAUUUUAACCACCUGUGCACUUUCUGUAGACUGGAAAACGAUGCUCGAGGCAACUCGGAUUGGGAACUGCUGCGCGAAAGCCGGCUGCUCCUGUGUUUUCUCAGUCUAUGUUUUUAUAUACUCCGAAUGUACGUAUAAGA
rnacentral:misc_RNA from 1 species